CCUACGGGAGGCAGCAGUAGGGAAUCUUCCGCAAUGGACGAAAGUCUGACGGAGCAACGCCGCGUGGGUGAUGAAGGCUUUCGGGUCGUAAAACUCUGUCGUUAGGGAAGAACAAGUACAAGAGUAACUGCUUGUACCUUGACGGUAACUAACCAGAAAGCCACGGCUAACUACGUGCCAGCAGCCGCGGUAAUACGUAGGUGGCAAGCGUUAUCCGGAAUUAUUGGGCGUAAAGCGCGCGCAGGCGGUUUCUUAAGUCUGAUGUGAAAGCCCACGGCUCAACCGUGGAGGGUCAUUGGAAACUGGGGAACUUGAGUGCAGAAGAGAAAAGCGGAAUUCCACGUGUAGCGGUGAAAUGCGUAGAGAUGUGGAGGAACACCAGUGGCGAAGGCGGCUUUUUGGUCUGUAACUGACGCUGAGGCGCGAAAGCGUGGGGAGCAAACAGGAUUAGAUACCCUGGUAGUCCACGCCGUAAACGAUGAGUGCUAAGUGUUAGAGGGUUUCCGCCCUUUAGUGCUGCAGCUAACGCAUUAAGCACUCCGCCUGGGGAGUACGGUCGCAAGACUGAAACUCAAAUGAAUUGACGGGG
rnacentral:rRNA from 1 species